CCUUAGCCCAGAUGGUAGUGGCAUCCUGUGUGCCUGGGGUUCAGGCACACAGAUAUAACGGACAGCUGGAUUUGGC
rnacentral:sRNA from 1 species